rnacentral:lncRNA from 1 species
AUUUAUUGAGUGCUUUCAGUGUGCCAACAUCAUUCUAAAUGAUUGGGAUACAUGAGUGGGAGUGAGUGAAGUGGACAAUGGCAGCAUUUUAGAAAAGGACUAAGGGUCAUGGGAUACAUGAACUUCAGGCUUAAUCUCUGUGUGAGAAAAACAGCAUGAAGAUAAUCAACUCUAUGUCAGAAGAAAUUGGCAACACUACUAACCAAGAGUAAUGCACACCGAAGGCAAGCUACCUGAGCCCUGAUCCCCCACCUGCCACUCUAGCGAUGUGAUUUUGGGCCAGUUAAUUAGCUCCUUUCUGCCUCACUUUCCCCUUCAUAGGGUUGUGAAGAGGACGUUACUAUUUGUACACUGUUUUGAGCAGUGCCUGCUGUACAGUAAGGACCAUAUAUGUGUUUAUAAAAUAAAUCUUAGUUGCUAGAGGCAACACCAGGGAGCUGAGAGUGGCCGCACAUUGACUCUCUUAAAGAACAC